rnacentral:rRNA from 1 species
AACGAACGCUGGCGGCAUGCCUAACACAUGCAAGUCGAACGAGACCUUCGGGUCUAGUGGCGCACGGGUGCGUAACGCGUGGGAAUCUGCCCUUGGGUUCGGAAUAACAGUUAGAAAUGACUGCUAAUACCGGAUGAUGACGUAAGUCCAAAGAUUUAUCGCCCAAGGAUGAGCCCGCGUAGGAUUAGCUAGUUGGUAAGGUAAAGGCUUACCAAGGCGACGAUCCUUAGCUGGUCUGAGAGGAUGAUCAGCCACACUGGGACUGAGACACGGCCCAGACUCCUACGGGAGGCAGCAGUGGGGAAUAUUGGACAAUGGGCGAAAGCCUGAUCCAGCAAUGCCGCGUGAGUGAUGACGGCCUUCGGGUUGUAAAGCUCUUUUGUCCGGGAAGAUAAUGACUGUACCGGAAGAAUAAGCCCCGGCAAACUUCGUGCCAGCAGCCGCUGUAA